rnacentral:rRNA from 1 species
GACGAACGCUGGCGGCGUGCUUAACACAUGCAAGUCGAACGGAAAGGCCUGCUUUCCCUUGUUGUUUGCUGGUACUCGAGUGGCGAACUGGUGAGUAACACGUGUGUCAUCUGCCCCCAACUUGGGUAUAAGCCUGGGAACUUGUGUCUAAUUCUCUAUAGGACUGCAUGGUUGUGCCUGUGGUGGAAAACUUUUUUCUAGUGGUUGGGGAUGAGCUCGCGGCCUAUCUGCUUGUUGGUGUGGUAAUUGCCUACCAAGACGGGGACGGGUAGCCGGAGUGGGAGGGGGGACAGUCAAAUUGAGACGGGGACAAGGCCCAGACGGCAAGGAGAGGCAGGAAUGGUGAAGAAAGGAGAAAGGGCGGAAGGCUGAAGCAGCGAGGCAGCGUGGAGGAUGACGGGAUUGGGGUAGUAAACUCCUAUCGAAGGAGAAAAAGGCACGUGGUUGGAAGGGUGGUGACGGUAGUGGUAGAAGAAGCACCGGCUAACUACGUG